UCGCGUCAGGAUAUGCCUAGGUGGGAUUAGCUAGUUGGUGAGGUAAGGGCUCACCAAGGCGACGAUCCCUAGCUGGUCUGAGAGGAUGAUCAGCCACACUGGAACUGAGACACGGUCCAGACUCCUACGGGAGGCAGCAGUGGGGAAUAUUGCACAAUGGGCGCAAGCCUGAUGCAGCCAUGCCGCGUGUGUGAAGAAGGCCUUCGGGUUGUAAAGCACUUUCAGUCGUGAGGAAGGUAGUGUAGUUAAUAG
rnacentral:rRNA from 1 species